AUGAAGGAUCUAGGAGUAGCUGAUGUUAUCUUAAACAUCAAGCUGUUGAGAGAUGAGAAUGGUGGGAUCACACUACUUCAGUCUCACUAUGUGGAAAAGGUCUUGAGUCGUUUUGGGUAUAGCGACUGCAUGCCUUCUCCAACUCCAUAUGAUGCUAGUGUGUUGCUUCGAAAGAACCGAUGGAUUGCUAGAGAUCAACUGAGGUAUUCUCAGAUUAUUGGCUCGCUUAUGUAUUUGGCGAGUGCCACGAGGCCUGACAUCUCUUUUGCUGUGAGCAAGCUGAGUCGGUUUGUGUCAAAACCGGGAGAUGAUCAUUGGCAUGCGCUUGAGAGAGUUAUGCGCUAUUUGAAAGGCACCGCGAGCUAUGGGAUUCACUACACCGAGUAUCCAAGGGUACUGGAGGGUUAUAGUGACUCAAACUGGAUAUUUGAUGCUGAUGAGAUUAAGGCCACAAGUGGUUAUGUUUUCACACUUGGUGGUGGCGCUGUUUUCUGGAAGUCUUGCAAGCAGACCAUCUUAAUGAGGUCAACUAUGGAAGCAGAACUCACAACAUUAGACACUGCCACUGUUGAAGCAGAGUGGCUUCGUGAACUCUUGAUGGACUUACCUGUUGAAAAACCAAUACCCCCUAUCCUGAUGAACUGUGAUAAUCAAAUUGUGAUCGUCAAAAUAAACAGUUCAAAGGACAAUAUGAAGUCCUCAAGGCAUGUGAAGAGGAGACUGAAAUCUGUCAGAAAAUUGAGGAACUCCGGAGUUAUUACAUUGGAUUAUAUCCAAACGUCGAAAAAUUUGGCAGAUCCCUUCACAAAGGGUCUAUCACGUAAUGUGAUAGAUAAUGCAUCGAUGGAGAUGGGUCUGAGACCCACCACAUGA
rnacentral:rRNA from 1 species